rnacentral:rRNA from 1 species
CCUUCCGGUGAGCCUUCGGGUUUAACGGACGCGGUAAAUCGUGCAAAGGUAGCUAAAUUAUGGCCUAUUAAUUGUAGGCCCUGUGAAUGGUUUGACGAGUCUUCAACUGUCUCUAGUUUGGUUUGGUGAACUUGAAUUGGAAGUGCAAAUGCUUCUGUGGGUAAGAAAGACGAGAAGACCCCGUGAAGUUAGAAAUUUUGGUUGUAAGGUUAGCCCCCCAAGCUUGAGGGCUGAGGUGGUUGUGAACGGGGGGGGUGCAACGGUAGUUUUGGCUGGGGCAGCAAAGGAGCAAAACUAGACUCCUCUCAACUAAUAGUCGGGUGCGUGUGAUCCACAAAACUGUAGUGUUGUGAUUAUCAGAAAAAGUUACUCCGGGGAUAACAGCGUUAUCUACCCCGAUAGUUCUUAUAGACGGGUAGGUUUGCGACCUCGAUGUUGGCUCUGGGUACCCUGGGGCUUGCAGGAGGUCCUAACGGUUGGUUCGUUCGCCCAUUAAAACCCAACGUGAUCUGAGU